rnacentral:rRNA from 1 species
UACGUAGGGGGCAAGCGUUGUCCGGAAUCAUUGGGCGUAAAGAGCGUGUAGGCGGUCCGAUAAGUCCGCUCUGAAAGCCCGGGGCUCAACCCCGGGAGGCGGGCGGAUACUGUCGGGCUAGAGUCCGGAAGAGGCAAGUAGAAUUCCUGGUGUAGCGGUGAAAUGCGCAGAUAUCAGGAGGAACACCGAUGGCGAAGGCAGCUUGCUGGGACGGUACUGACGCUGAGACGCGAAAGCGUGGGGAGCAAACAGG